AAAGCGGUGCGCAACAUCUGACACGCGUAUUCGGCGAGAAGCUAUGUAAAUACGGUCUCUGCACUAGUUGUGUUGACAGUCUUAUUUAUAAAAGGAAAUACAAUAUGAAACGAGCGGGGAAGGAUUGGAGUCGCAUAAGCACCUGUUGCACACUGCACAACCUUUCACAAAUCAGGGGUAAUUCAAACCCCCAGGGACCUGCUGUCAGUAGCUUGUGAGCCAUUCCUUCUGAUCCAACCCUUUAUGGACCAGUUCAGCCACUCACGGAAUCCAGGCUUUUGGCUAAUUUCU